rnacentral:tRNA from 2 species
GGGCCGGUAGCUCAGUUUGGUAGAGCACCUGACUUUUAAUCAGGUGGUCGCGGGUUCAAAUCCCGUCCGGCUCA